CAGGCCUAACACAUGCAAGUCGAGCGGGCAGCAAUGCCAGCGGCAAACGGGUGCGUAACGCGUAAGCAACCUGCCCACUACUGGGGGAUAGCCCGGCGAAAGCGGGGGUAAACCCGCAUGGUCCUUUUUAUUCACCUGGGGGGAUAGGUAAACAUUUAUGGGUAGUGGAGGGGCUUGCGGAUGAUUAGCGAGUUGGCGGGGUAAGGGCCCACCAAGGCGACGAUCAUGAGGGUUGAUGAGAGGAUUGGCCCCCACAUGGGUACUGAGACACGGACCCAAUGCCUACGGGAGGCAGCAGGAGGGAAGAUUGGGCAAUGGAGGCAACGAUGACCCAGCCAUGCCGCGUGGAGGAUGACGGCGCGCAGCGUUGAAACGCCUUUGAACUGGGAAGAACGGCAGAGGUGAGCCGAUGUGUGACGGAACCAGGGGAAGAAGCAACCGGCGAAACGCCGUGCCAGCAGCCGCG
rnacentral:rRNA from 1 species